GCUGUCAUGAUCCAAAGAGCCAAACAUCAACUUCAUCUACUCAACUGAGAUGUACCAAUUUCCCUCUGAUAAGCUCUGAUUGAUUAUUGGCGGCUCAAACGGCAGUUUGUCGAAUGCAUGAAAACCCGCCCAGCUUUUUUGUCCUUUAACUGCAUUUAAACCAAAAGAGAGUUGAGGUUAAAUAAGAAAUCUACAGUUGAAACUUAAUGUUCGCAUAUGCUGGAUACAACAUGCAUAACACGCUCUGAUGUCACGUCAAGACAUCAGACUAAACCGUCCCAGUUUUAGGUUCUUUCUUGGCGACGCCUCCUGUUUUGUGAAGUCCACCAGUCCCUUCCGCAGCAAAACACUCACCAUGGAGCUGACACCCCACGUAUGAUGACGUUUUCAAACUUACAAGGUGCAUUCACACACUCCUAUCGUCCCGUCUCCCACUGGAGCACACCAGCUUAUGCCGAGGAGAUGGGAGAAAGGCAGAAGUGCCUCUGAAAAACUCUAAUCACAUGCUUCUGAAUGUACACUUCCUACACCGUGAGCGCAUUCGGGCGCUGAAUGAAAAGGCGGCGCGCGGCUGGAUGUCAGGCUGCUGCAGGAACCGACGCUUGUUCUGCGCGCUCCGACACCCACAGCCUGCUCAGAGCCAGUUCCUCCCAUCACGACAGGAUUCGCUUUGUGAAUGGAGAGAGUCGUGAUGAGGGCGUCAUUAACUCGGCAAACACCGGGACAAUGCUGUCGAUUAUGUGCAGCUGCGAACCCCGAUCCGGUGAAUAUGAUCUGUGGGUUGAAUGUGACACAGCCUAUGCAUUAAUGAAGACUUCCUCCAGGCGCGAUUUGUACAUUACAUUAUCUGUACGCCUGGAUUAGGAGUGGGUUGCCACAUGUUUCCAAUGUACAAAUGAUACUGAUGAAUUCAGUUUUUGUCAAAAUUGAAAUAAAUAAAAAAAAGUCCAGUUAAACCUCUAUUAGCUAUUUAGUUAGUUAAUUUAGUCACUGAAAAGAUUGUGUUGCUUCCUGAUCAGGACAUUUGAUGAUCCACAAAGAAGAGAAGGAAAAAACCACGUCUGAAAAUAUAAAUUAAAUAUGUUUCACAUAAUUGAGGUAUUUCCUGUUCACUUUACAAAACAGAUCAUCAUUUAAACUACCUGAUCGGCUUUUAUCUUAAAAUGCAGUUCACAUAAAGGAACAUAAGUCCUUAUGACAUUGUUUAUUUCUUCAUUUUUACAUUUUUUUCACAUAAACACAAAAUUUCAACCUACUUUGUUGAAGUGAUUUACCAAUAAAAGUGCAUCAUUGCGAAGUGGGGAAAAAUUUGUUUUCAAAACUUCAAAACUCCAGAUCAAAAAAAAAAAGUCCAGCAUGAAUUUGUUGUAUUCAGCACUUAUUACCCCUUUACUGACAUCAUUCACUUAACUGGAGAGUAAUGUCCAACUGAGGGUUGGACAGUGACUGUUUGUUAAUCUCAUCUGUUCUGUGAAGGCCUUCGAGGUUUGCAAGAGAACAUUAGUGAGAAAACAUCAACAUGAAGGCCAAGGAACACAGCAGAAGGUCAGCAAGAAAGCUGAGGGUUUGAAAAGAAUCCCACAGGCCUCGAACGUCUCACUGAGUUUUUACGAUCAAUCGAUCAUCUGAAAUGGAAAAGGUUGUGGAACAACUGGAACCCUGUUACAAUAUGGCCAUCCACCUAAAAUGACUGAGUGGUUCAGUCUUGCUUUCCGCUCUGCCUGUGUCCGGUCCGGCAGUGUGAAAGUCACAAUAAUUGUCUUGAGUGCCAAAGAAAUGCCCAACAGAUUUACUUUACUUUCGAUGUAAUGCUCCACUUCUUUGAAAGUAGGAUAUUAUGUAAUUUCCAAUCACAUGAUGCCAUUUUGUAGCACAAACAAGUAACUACAUCACUUUCAGUUGUUAUCAAAAUCAUGCAUAAAUAAAAACAGUUUGACUUCACCACAUCUAAUUCCUUUUUAAAUUGGCCUCUGUCGCUUUAAGAAGCUCCUACUCCUUCUGACACUUCAGCACGUCACCAUGAUGGUGCUGCUCCACGAUGUUGUUUACCAUCAGCAUCGCGGCGCGUCGGACUGAGAACUGGUUCAUACGACUGGCUCAACAGACGCGCAGUUUCACCAGGUGUUUGCGGCCGCUAGUCUGGAGGAGCUGCG